CAUAGACUAUUAUUAAUUGUUUAAAACAUGAUCAGGAUAUUUUGAUUUCAUGUGCUUAAUGUGUCCCAUCUCACCCACCCUACUAUAUAUUUAAUCAUGGUAGUAUUAUUAAAAAAAUAAAAACUACAAAUAAGAUUAAAUGUAUGAAAUCAGUGAGUCCUCGCGUAAUUGAGUUGUUCAGAGCGCUCGCUCCACUCCACGUUGAUUGCUAUAAGCAUGGAUGUAAUUAUUGCGCGGCGCUUUUAAUACCAAACGUGUGACUUGUAAACUUACUGCACAGCACGAGUCAGUGGAGGCUGUGUGAAGUGGUAAUAAUCAGGUUGAAAAGGAGCAUACAGGUUUUGGCUACAAAGCUGUAUUUAGAAAUAUAGUGCUGUGAGGUAUAAGGUGGGAAAGCCUACUGUUAGCACCUAAAUUUCAGAUUUCCUAAAUAUGUUUUAAACAAUUAACAAAGCUCUUUUAGGGUCGCAAGGCUACAGUUUAUACAUAAUUAUGUAAAUAUUCUUUGUUUACUACCAAAUGAUACGAGAAAAGACUUGUCCCAUCUUACCCUAUACCCUAUACAUUAUAGAAGAAGUAUUAUAUACUAACAUUUAUAUAUACAUAUUAUUUAAAAACA